UACGAAGGGGGCUAGCGUUGUUCGGAUUUACUGGGCGUAAAGCGCACGUAGGCGGAUUGUUAAGUCGGGGGUGAAAUCCUGGAGCUCAACUUCAGAAUUGCCUUCGAUGCUGGCUUUCUAGAGGCUGGAAGAGGUUAGUGGAAUUCCCAGUGUAGAGGUGAAAUUCGUAGAUAUUGGGAAGAACACCAGUGGCGAAGGCGGCUAACUGGUCCAGAUCUGACGCUGAGGUGCGAAAGCGUGGGGAGCAAACAGG
rnacentral:rRNA from 1 species